GACGAACGCUGGCGGCGUGCUUAACACAUGCAAGUCGAACGCACUCGACCUUCGGGUCACAUGAGUGAGUGGCGAACGGGUGAGUAACACGUGAGAAACCCACCCCGAAGUUUGGGAUAAUUCAGGGAAACUUGAACUAAUACCAAAUACCCCCCUCGGAUCGAAUGGUCUGUGGAGGAAAGAUUUAUCGCUUCGGGACGGUCUCGCGGCCUAUCAGCUUGUUGGUGAGGUAACGGCUCACCAAGGCUUCGACGGGUAGCUAGUCUGAGAGGACGAAUAGCCACACUGGGACUGAGACACGGCCCAGACUUCUACGGAAGGCAGCAGUGGGGAAUCUUGCACAAUGGGCGAAAGCCUGAUGCAGCGACGCCGCGUGGGGGAUGAAGGCCCUAGGGUCGUAAACCCCUUUCAGUGGGGACGAAACUGACGGUACCCACAGAAGAAGGUCCGGCCAACUACGUGCCAGCCGCCGCCGUAACAC
rnacentral:rRNA from 1 species